GACGAACGCUGGCGGCGUGCCUAAUACAUGCAAGUAGAACGCUGAAGGAGGAGCUUGCUCUUCUGGAUGAGUUGCGAACGGGUGAGUAACGCGUAGGUAACCUGCCUGGUAGCGGGGGAUAACUAUUGGAAACGAUAGCUAAUACCGCAUAACAGUAGAUGUUGCAUGACAUUUGCUUAAAAGGUGCAAUUGCACCACUACCAGAUGGACCUGCGUUGUAUUAGCUAGUUGGUGGGGUAACGGCUCACCAAGGCGACGAUACAUAGCCGACCUGAGAGGGUGAUCGGCCACACUGGGACUGAGACACGGCCCAGACUCCUACGGGAGGCAGCAGUAGGGAAUCUUCGGCAAUGGACGGAAGUCUGACCGAGCAACGCCGCGUGAGUGAAGAAGGUUGUCGGAUCGUAAAGCUCUGUUGUAAGAGAAGAACGAGUGUGAGAGUGGGAAGUUCACACUGUGACGGUAGCUUACCAGAAAGGGACGGCUAACUACGUG
rnacentral:rRNA from 1 species